CCGCCAGACUCCUACGGGAGGCAGCAGUGAGGAAUAUUGGUCAAUGGGCGAUCUCCUGAACCAGCCCCGUCGCGUGAGGGAGUACUGCCCUAUGGUUUUUAAACCUCUUUUUUCGGGGAGCACCCGCCGGACGUGUCCUUCUGUGAGAGUCCCCGCAGAAAAAUCCUCUUCUAACUCCUUGCCCGCAGCCGCUUUCCUACGGAGGCUGCUCUCGUUAUCCGGAUUUAUUGGGUUUAAAGGGUGCGCAGGCGGAGUUUUAAGUCGGGGGUCAAAUCGGGGGGCUCAACCCCAUCCAGCCGUUGAAACUGGGGAUCUAGAGUGUGCGAGAGGGAUGCGGAAUGCGUGGUGUAGCGGUGAAAUGCAUAGAGAGAAAGCAGAACCCCGAUGGCGAAGGCAGCAUACCGGUGCACAACUGACGCUCAGGCACGAAAGCGUGGGGAGCGAACAGGAUUAGAUACCCCUGUA
rnacentral:rRNA from 1 species